AUGAGAAAAUAUUGCCACUUUUAAUUAUUAAAUAAUAUUUACUAUAAUACGAUUUACUUUUAUUUAAUUAUUAAACAUGCAAUAUAUUUUAAAUUAUUUAAUUAUACAUGCAAUAUAUGUUUUAAAAAUGUAUUAAAAUAAAGUUAAUUGCGUAUUCUCUCUAUUCAUGUUCUUGUAGCAUGCACACAUUUUAAAAAGCCAGUACAUGUAAUUUUCGAAAACAGUGUGUACCACCAUUGCACCUUUUUAUUUGGGAGAUUUAUUAGAAAAUAGCUUUUUAUUCAGAAAAGAUUAUGACAGAAUUAGAUAAUUAGAUAAAAGAAGACUAAAAUAUGUGUUAAAUCAUGUAACAUUAUAAAUGUAAUUAACUCUUCAUCUUCCAAAGAUUGAAAACAGUAAUGAAAGAGACCAAUAUUUAAAAAUGGAAUCUUUUUUAAAACCUAAAAAAAGAAAAAAAACUAAAAAAUUAUUAUAUGCUAACAGCUUUACUUUCACACCAGGCAAAUCCACUGUUGAGUGAGUUGGCUCUGAUUCCAAUGGUCUCAUCAACUUUGUGAACACAGGUACCUCAGUGGUGCCUCUUUCAAGACAACAACAUUAACUUUUAGAGAUUAAAAAAUAUAUUUUGGCAAUUGAAACUCACCAGUGCCUUUCUGCUUCUCCAGGAAGUUGUACCCGUCAGCACCUGCUGAGGGCUUUGUUGUCCAAAUCCUGACAGGUAAAAAAAUUCCUGUAGAAUAAAGCCAGACCAGCUGGCUUUGAAGAGAAACCCCCCAGUUUGGGCUGCGUUUGCCUCCUCUCCUUUUCUAUGAAGACCGAGGCUUUGCCCCCUUGAUCGUCAAGCCGUGAGAUGCGUGAUCUCUCUGCACAAGUGUCUGGCAGGCCGAGGUGCACCUGUUUCUGUCACUCUGGAGUAAAUUUAGCUGUAAAGGUAUCACUGACAACCAGACCUUUGUCAGUGCUGGCGAAAGAACACAGAAUUGCUUCCCUCCCCUCCCCCCUCCCGACCCCCUAUGCUGCUAGUUCCAAUGGAAAAUAUCCAAUCGGAAGUCUAUCCAAAAAUCAUUCCUAAAAAAUGAAAUUGCUUUCAUAUGGUAUAAAAAAGUAAGUUUCCUCAUUUCAAGCAGAUUUUAAAAUUACAUUUCCAAGAAUAAUCUUGGAACAAGACAAGUUUUCGUUCAAUUAAUUGUGGCUGGAAACUUUUUAAUGGAAACGUAGCACAUACUUACUUCAUUUCAGGUUAUUAAACUGUGUUAAGCAUUAAAGUUAUUUGCCAUUCUUUGCUGCAACUCAUUUGUUCUUUUCGAUUCUAAGAAAUAUUAGAAGGUUAAAUAACUUAUCACAUAGGAGGGAUUAAUCAUGCUACCAAAAUUAGAAUGUGUGUAGUUCUGAGGGACUGGAUGUCAAAAUUGUAUGCUGAUAGCACUAAAACCAUUGGGAAUCUAGGAUGCCACUAGAACAUGUAAAAUGGCAGCUAAGGUCUGUGCAAUCCCUUCAUGUUUAGAAACUGGCUAAAGCUUGAGUUCUCUUAUCUUUUGGUUAAGGGCACCACUUUCAGAUAAAAACAUAGACCUGAAUGGCAUCAUCCAGUAUCCAAGGAAACCAUGUGAACAACAAAGAAGACUUGGAAACUCAGUGAUCAGAGACUGGAAAUGACGGUGAUGGAAAGUGGAAUAUCAGUGAUCCUGAACAUUCAGACCUCACUGAUCUCAGAAAAGGUAGGAUUUUUCUCACCUUUGGAAAAAAUAAAUCUCUUACCAGAGAUAUGAAAAAUUCAGCUGAAUUUAUUUAUGGCCUUGGUAAAGGUCUUUUCAUGCUCUACAAUGGCAAUAUUUUUACAAAACCAACAGAGGGAAGAUCCUUCCACAACAGCAAGUGUGUAUUGCAGCAGGAUCUGAGAGUCUUGGUGCCAGGGCACCAUGCUAAGUAAAUAGACCACAACAGCUGGGUCUCCUUUGCUCCUGGAAUAGAUCUUCUACUACACAACCAUGGAAAGCUAGUCCGCAUGAGAGGCAGUGACUUUAAAGUUCACCGGAGGGCUUACAUAUGUGUUGACAUGCAUUUUCGGGUCACCAAUUUACUUGGUUGUUAAAAGCUUUACUGCAUCAUAUAUGAACCAAAGUGGAGGGGUCACGCCAAGUCCUUACUCAGAAGGAGAAGAUAAUGGAAGAGAUGCAGAACACCCAGGCAAGUAGAUGAUCUAUCUAGGGAUGCCAGCAAGUGCUCUCAAGAGAAAAUGUAUUCUGUUUCAUCCAGGUUCAGGCUAAAUUGCUGGGACAGCUGCUUUCUUUGACCUCCUCUCGACUUUGCUGACCACAUCACCAACUGGCAGGGUGUGGUGCCUUAAGACCUUCCAAGAGACUUGCUUCCAAAUGGAAAUAAUGGAGUAACAUUUUGUAUGAUCAAACAUGAGAGAAUUCCAGUAAUUUUCAGCAUUUUAAGGUACAUUCAGCAUAUUGCUCAAAUGAUUAUUAAAAUUCUGAAUCUGAAAAGCAGUCGGUCCCACAUCGAAACUGCUUGUAAAAUACAUGAUUCAGAUGGUGGUCAUUGGUUAAUAAUAGCAACAGAGGAAGCCCUGGGAGCCAUCUAGUAGGGAACCCCUCUUCUUCCAGAAAGUAAUACACCAAAGCUAUUCUCUGUAGAAGACUGUUUUGUCUUUUCUUAGGAAAUGGAAAGAAAAGAAUUUUUAUUAUAUUCCUGUCUAUUGUCUUAUGGCUUUGAUAGCUAUUGAAUUAUUUGAACUAAAUCCUAUUAUUUGUAUUAGCCCCUUCUUUCUCAAACACACAUACUUACAAAUAUACACACAUGUUCACAAUAUAGUGGGGAAAACAAGCUUUCUUGUCGAUCUGUAUCAUUAGGAGGAAAAUUAUUUUUUCUGAUCAUAGGAGUACAGGUUUGUUUUUAUUUCAAAAUACUUAGAACUAGAACCAAAGUAGAGUUUGUUAGUGCCAAGAAGCAUUUCUCUUUCUUGAAUCAAGAGCCCAGUGCAUCAUUUUUGCCACUUUCAUUCUUUUAUUUCAUCAGCAACCUUCUUUUCAGCUACCAUGCAGCAAAAAAUGUUUGCAAGUAGCGUCUGGUGCUUCCAUGAGGUAUGCCUGGCUGCUCAGGGGGAAUGCAUGGGACAGAGGGAGGCUCUUUUCUACUCUGUAGCCGGCAGGACAAAUCACUGACAUCCUCUUAGAUAUUAGAGGGGAAUAUCCUGAGCUAUUCUGGAAUCUCAAAAGGACUAACAAAGUUCAUUCCAUUUGUCAUUGAAAUGUGACAGUGAUGUAGAACAAAACCUUUCCGCAGUGGGGGCUGGCUGCACCGAAUUCCUUUUGCAACAAGGAAAUUAGGUCAGAAGAAAUUUAGGUCAACACCUUACAGAGAUGUCCCCAUGCCUGAAAGGAGCCAGGAGAACUUAAAACAUUCCACACAGAAAGGUUAUUGUUUUUAUAUUUAAUUUGAAAAAUGGUACCUUCCAAAGCUUAGUGUCAUAUAAAUUCAGCUAUGAAUCAGCAAAGAAAAUUACCGUUUGCAUCACUAGCACUGCUUCUGAUAAAUCCAGGCACGAUCCUAAGGUGCUUCUAACCAAGCCCAGCCGACCCAGUUUAAUCAUGCAAUUCAAGACAUAUUUAUCAACUCUUGAUUAUGUACAAUUAAACUAUUAGAUAAUGUAAAGGUUGUAAAGAUUAAUAAGUACCUCCUCCCACUAAUCCCAUCUUUGCCAUAAGGAAGUUAUAAGCUAAGGAGGAGGAGAAGAUUAUGGGGUAAAUUAAAAUGCAAUAUAGCCUAUAAGUCAUUGAUUCAUUUGUCAUAGAGCAAAUGAACUCCUACUGUAUGCCGAAGACUAUGGAAGUGAUAUACAAGAGUUAAAGUAAGUGAUUCUGGAUGGAGAAGAGAGAGAUCAGGUUAGUUUGGGGUGGACAAAAAGGAAUAAUUUCUUUAAAAAAGGGCAGUUUAAAUGAACUUUAAAUGGAUAUAAUUUCAAAAGAUGGAGGUAGGUAAGAGGUCCCUGAGUGGAAGUGUUGGGAAGAGGGACACAGUGGGUGGGGAUGCCUGGACAAGGGGAGGCAAAGAGACCCCAUGGCUGAGAAUGUUAGGAGGAGAGAAAAGCAUGUGCAAUGGCAAAGGGGUAGACAAGAAUAUGCUGUAUUUGGGGAACAAAUGAUGACCCAUGUUGAUUAUAUUGACCACACAAGGCAGAAAUUGAAGUGGUUAGAAAGGAUAAGUCAGAAUCCUAUUUAGACAUGCCUUGAAUACCAGGCUGGAGAGUUGCAUGAGUGCGGUGAGCCAUCCUGUGGCUCCGUGGAAAGGAUUCUGGUGACUUGGAUGGCCCUUCCGACCAGUCAAGAUGGCUGAAUACAGGUUAGCAAAGUUAUUCCAUAAAUCCUAAACCAUUGUUCUGGAAUGUCUUUAGAUAUGAAGUGACUUGAUCAACAUCUCUGCUGUCAGUAUUGAAUGUAUAUUUCUUAAGCGAAACAAGUGGAAUUUUACUAAAUCCGCUUUUUAAAGUAUCCCAACUGAAGUCUAAUUUGGCAUUUGGCCAGUUUAAACAAAAAAAUGAAUGAGAAAUAUAAAAAAUGAGUACGGUUUUUAUUUUCAUUGGUUAUGUGACCACCUUCUCACUACAUACAUCAGUUAGCAAAGUCUGCUUUCAACUGUGGAAAUUUCAUUAUCACAUCUAAUUCUGGUUUGGUAGCACAUUAAACUUUCAAACAGUUAAUGACUCUGGUUUUCUUUCUGUUCAGCUUUACCUUUCAUAAAGCACCGGCAAGAGGAAAGAAAUGACAGUAAGACUGAAUUAUGAACUUUAAAAAGUUGAGAACAAGUAACUACUUGUACUGUGAAAGCUGCUCUCUCUGCUCUUGAUUAACUGUCUGCAAUAGGUCAGUGGUGAGCACUGUGUACCGUGGCGAUGAUUGUUGCAGCAGACAGGCAGAGUAAAUCACAGAGAUGGGAGGGGGACCCAAAGGGAGGAAUUUCUUUUAGCCUCCUAUUUAACGCAUAGAGAUUACUGAAACUCUGCUUUCAUAAAAUGGCUCGUUUCACAGACUUAUUUCCAAUAUCUUCCAUAGAUCACAAUUUUAACAAAAAACAAAACAGCAUUUGUAGUGAAGAAUAGAUUAGUGUUUGCUUACCUUGAAGUGCUUUGGAAAUUGGUGAGUGAGGACUUUUUGAAUAAGAUUUUGAUCCCAGAAAUUUGUAGGUGGGGAGCAGGGAGAGGUUGUGUGUCUAUGUGUAUGUACAUAUAAUCUACUUGUAAUAUAUGUGUAUAUAUAUGCAGAGUUUCAUAUAUAACACACAUAUUUACACACACAUGCACAUUCACAAUUUACUUAUUGAUGGGAAUAUCAGGAAGGAAGAAAGAAAGAUUAGCUGAUCUCUUGCCACAUUUUCUCCAUUGAGGUUGGUUCUAAUAUCCAUCCAUUUUAGAUGAAUUUGAGGUUCAGAGAAGUUCAACAAAUUAAAUAAAUAAAUAAUUUAGUUACAUAACCCCUGCCUUCCUCUCUUUAUUCUCCUUCUAGUGUUGUAUCAAAAAGUAUCAAAAUGGUUUUCAAAAGAAAUACAAGAAAGUAAGUAAAAAUGACUUAAAUUUUUUAAAAAGAUGUUACCUAGCCAAAAUGAAGACCAGAGAAGAAAGAACACACUAUGAGGCUGGAUGUGAAUUUAAUGGCAAAGAUGACUCUCAGUUUCUUAGCAGCCAAGCCAAAGAAACAAAAGUGAACAAUACACAAACGAGUUACUCGGAAUUACCUCCAAACAACAUCAUAGUUUUAUAUGGCUUGUUUCUUACGAUGCCCUUUGUCUAUGAUGUUUGGUACAGCUUAGUGAUGGCUUAGCUCAAUUUCUCAUUUUAUCAUUAUAAUCUCAUACAUGUUUAUGCAUGGUGCACACAUGGACUCCUUGGCACAAAGAAACAAAAUGUUGAGGAAGGAGUCCACACCUCAGGCUAUAUUCAUCCUCACUGGAGAAAUAAGCUGUCGUCGUUAAGAAGUAACUGUCGAGUAAGGGGGCUGAUCUGGCAGACUAUAGAGAAUCCUUACACCAUAGUCAUGCCAUGGUCAUGUAUGUGCAUGUUAGUGUGCCUAUGCAUGUGUCUUACAACACCCUGUUAUAUGUCUGUGUCUUACUUUGCCAUCUAUUUAUUAUUCUUAGUGUUGCUCAUGAAGAAGUCUUUCUAUAUACCUUCAAAUGACAAUUAUUUCACAACUCUAUAGCGUUUUCAUCUAGACCUUUACAUGUUCUGAGAAUGGAGUCUAUGCCAUCGGGAACAUUUGUAAUCGUAAAUCCAUGCCUUUUUGUGCAUUGGUUAGGUAGAUGACUCAUAAAGAUGAGGGUUGUCAAGAAGAGUUUGAAGAUUAAAGAUCUGCUAGACAAAGUAGAAAACUAAGGAACCUGAUGCUGGCUCCACAAGUUCUCACACUUGUUUUUAGUUUGACCAAAAAAAAAAAAAAGUAGGCUUCAAGUUCAUUUUAUUUGAUUGUGUGCAAUAGUGUUCCAAGAAAAUAUAAGAUUACUUUCUCUCCUGUUUGCUUUGAUAUAUAUACUCUGUGGGGAAUAAUAAUUAUAGAAAAAAAGUUGUUCUUCUUUAUUAAAUCUAAUUUAAUAUAAACUUGCUGUUUAGGAAAAUACUAAAAAUGAGUUUUACUAGCCUGAUUUGUUUUUACAGAAAUACUAUCAACUGAAUAGAAGUGAAAGAGAAAUCAAAAUAUUCUUACAUCCAUUCUGAAUCUAACGUUCUCCAGUAUAUCAGAGAAUCAGGCUCCAUAAAAACUGUUAAGCAAACUAGGUCACAGAUAACAAGGUAGCAAUUAAAAUGACUAUAUCAAUUAUUUGGUUAUUUCCUAAUAUUUCACUCUGUAGGAUCUUUUAUAUAGGACCCUCAUUUAGUACUCUACUAUGAAGAGAAAACUUUUUUAACAUAACAUUAUUUAUAGAAUCAUUUAAAAUAUGAUGAAUGGGAAAAGAGCAUUCAUUAAAAACGUGGGGGGGGGGGCGGAUUACCAGAGAGCUCUCAUUUAGAAAUAUCUUCAACUAAAACGACUAAAUUAUAGUUGAUGUGGUAAAGAAGAAAUUUAAUAUGUUACCUAAAGAAUAUCAUUUGGAAUGCUUUAGUUUCUCUCCUCUCUGCUCUAGGAAAUAUGCUUCCUCCAAUAGUGGGAUUUCCUGCUACACUUUACAUCAGUGCUUUUUCCAUUGUUAUUCCUUUCUUAAACCUAGAUUAACCUAUUAAUUUAAAAACCUGGACCUUGUGCAAUGUUCUAGGAAACCAAGCCUGCGCGACCAGAGACUUGCACAAAUGAUUUUAUCGAGCCUGUUCUGUUUAUUUAGCUGCUCUUAUUUGAUCCUUAUAAUUGAAUUCUUAGACCCUCCCAAAAGACAAAACCAUAUACUUUGAAUUGUACCAUGCAUUAAAAUGGGUUGUUUACAGCUUUCUAGUGUUACUAAACCUCUAAACCUCUUUAUGGCUUUUUGGGGCCAGUUCUCCUGAGAUUAUGUUUGGCUGAAGUCAAUAGGAGCAGGGGUUUCAGACUACACCAAAGAGCUGAGUAAGAUUCCACUGAUUCAGCAUCUGUCCUCGCUGCCCUAGGGUUCACUAGCAUAUAUUUUCUAAAAAAUAAGUAUUAGGGAAAGCAUAUGUGGUCAGAUCCCAUGCUGCAUGCUGGGAGAUACGGGUUUGGUCCUUGCGCUUGGAGUGUUCACUUUUCUUUUGGGAAAGAGAACAUGUACCCAGAUCACUAGGAUCUGAAGGGAGUGUGAGAUGGUAUAGGCACAGUGUGCAGACAGUGAAGAGGAAAAGCUCCUUACCUGGCUAGGGGAUGGGUGUGUUGUGAGGUGGGCAGUCAGGGACAGUUUAUAGUUCUACGGUUGAGAUCAUGCCUGAGUCUUUGUUUGUUUGUUUGUUUGUUUGUUUGUUUAGAGACAGCAUCUCACUCUGCUGUCCAGCUUGGAGUGCAGUGGUGAGAUCAUAAUUCACUGUAACCUCAAACUCCAGGGCUCAUAAGAUCCUGUUUCCUUAGCCUCGGGUAGCAAGGACAGACACAAGUGUGCCUGGAUCUUAAAGGCUGUUACCAGGUUAGGGAAAGGAGGAGUUAAAAGUAGGGGGGGGAAGGGCAUGCUAGUUGAUGGGGAUGCCAGGAUAAAAAGUCAAUCAGGGAGAACUCUUAAGUAAGUACAAGAAAUACUUUCUUCUUCCACUAUUAAGUUCCUUCAUUUAAGAAAGAACCCAGUGAAUUGUGAAACGUUAAGAAAUAUAGCCUUAAUCUCUUUUAAUUUUUUUUUUUUUGGUCUUUUCCAUAGAAAAAAGAGAGGAUGAGCUACAUCAUCAUCAAGGUUUCUUCAGGGCUCUGAUAUUAUAUGCUUUAUAUUCGUACAAAUUUAUAAGGCAUAUGUGAAAAUUUGUUACAUGUAUGUAAUGCAUAGCGAUCAAGUUAAGGAAUUUAGGGUGUAUGUCUCCUGAGUACAAGACAUUUUUGUUUAACUAUAAUCACUCUACUCUACUGUCAAGCACUGAAUUUAUUUCUUCUAUCUAAUUGUAUAUUUUUACUCUUUAACCCAUCUCUCUUUGUCUUUCCCACUAUGUAUUUAAUUAACCUGAGAUAACAGACCCUUACACUGUUUGUAUUAAUAUAUGGAUAUUAUCUUCAGGAAAACAAUAGCAUUGUUUAUUUCUAGACAUAAUUUUGUAAAUCAAAACAUGAGAAUAGUACACUUCUAUUCCCUUUAGGUACUCUGAUUAAAAUCAGUUUUACUGCACAAAGAUUUGGUUUCAGAGGAAUUUCCCCGGAAAGCCUUUUUCCACACAUCGAACUAUGGUCCUACUGUCACAUUCAGAGUUUGGGAUCCUUUUAAAAA